CCUACGGGGGGCUGCAGUAAGGAAUAUUGGUCAAUGGACGAAAGUCUGAACCAGCCAUGCCGCGUGGAGGAUGAAGGUCCUCUGGAUUGUAAACUUCUUUUAUAUGGGACGAAAAAAGGCCUUUCCAGGUCGUCUGACGGUACCAUAUGAAUAAGCACCGGCUAACUCCGUGCCAGCAGCCGCGGUAAUACGGAGGGUGCAAGAGUUAUCCGGAUUCACGGGGGCGUAGGUGUGUGGAGAAGUGUUGGUAGAAAUCCCCGAGCUUAACUUGGGAACUGCCAUUGAUACUAUCAGUCUUGAAUACCGUGGAGGUCAGCGGAAUAUGUCAUGUAGCGGUGAAAUGCAUAGAUAUGACAUAGAACACCAAUUGCGAAGGCAGCUGGCUACACGAGUAUUGACACUGAGGCACGAAAGCGUGGGGAGCAAACAGGAUUAGAUACCCGUGUAGUC
rnacentral:rRNA from 1 species